GUGCGCUCCCGCACCCCCGGAGCCCAGGGUCCCGGCACCCCCGAGCGCGGCCAGGGAUGCGCGGAGCCCGGCGAGGAGCGCAACGCGCGACCCCCGAGCACAGGCUGUCCCUGGGGUCCCCAGCGCUCCGGCCCCGGCGGGCGGCACGACCCCCGCUCGCCCCCGCCCCCAACCCUGACGCCCUCGGGGCGUCCCCGCGGGUCCGACACACCGCGCCCUCCCCGCCUCGACGGCUCUCGGAGCCCCGCGCCCGGCUCCCGGCAGCCCCCGGCGGCUCGCACCUUCCUCAGCGCGGACAUCCUCGGACGCUCCGGGCUCAGCAG
rnacentral:misc_RNA from 1 species